ACCCCCCUUUGCUUUGGCAAGAUGGCGGAGUACGACUUGACUACUCGCAUCGCCCACUUUUUGGAUCGGCAUCUGGUCGUUCCGCUCCUUGAAUUUCCCUCUGUGAAGGGGAUAUAUAAUGAAAAAGAGUUAUCACAAGGGAAAUUGGAUCUUCUUAGUGAUACCAACAUGGUAGACUUUGCUAUGGAUGUAUACAAAAACCUUUAUUCUGAUGAUAUUCCUCAUGCUUUGAGAGAAAAAAGAACCACACUUGUUGCACAAAUGAAGCAGCUUCAAGCAGAAACAGAACCAAUUGUGAAGAUGUUUGAAGAUCCAGAAACUACAAGGCAAAUGCAGUCAACCAGGGAUGGUCGGAUGCUAUUUGACUACCUGGCGGACAAGCAUGGUUUUAGGCAAGAGUAUUUAGAUACCCUCGAUAGGUAUGCAAAAUUUCAAUAUGAAUGUGGGAAUUACUCAGGAGCAGCAAAAUAUCUUUAUUUUUUUAGAGUGUUGGUUCCAGCAGCAGAUAGAAAUGCUUUAAGUUCACUCUGGGGAAAACUGGCCUCUGAAAUCUUAAUGCAGAAUUGGGCUGCAGCCAUGGAAGACCUUACAUGGUUAAAGGAAACCAUUGCUAAUAAUUCUGUGAGUUUUCCACUUCAGUAUCUUCAGCAGUGAACAUGGCUCAUUCACUGGUCUCUGUUUGUUUUCUUCAACCACCCCAAAGGUCGCGAUAAUAUCAUUGAUCUUUUUCUUUACCAACCACAGUAUCUUAAUGCAAUUCAGACAAUGUGUCCACAUAUUCUGCGCUAUUUGACUACAGCAGUCAUAACAAACAAGGAUGUUCGGAAACACUGGCAGGUGCUAAAAGAUCUAGUCAAAGUUAUUUAGCAGGAACCUUACACAUAUAUCAAGACCCAAUUACAGAAUUUGUUGAGUACUUGUAUGUUAACUUUGACUUUGAUGGAGCUCAGAAAAAACUGAGGGAAUGUGAAUCAGUACUUGUGAAUGACUUCUUGGUGGCUUGUCUUGAGGAUUUCAUUGAAAAUGCCCAAAGUGCCCGUCUCUUCAUAUUUGAAACUUUUUGUCGCAUCCAUCAGUGCAUCAGCAUUAACAUGUUGGCAGAUAAACUGAACAUGACUCCAGAAGAAGCUGAAAGGUGGAUUGUGAAUUUGAUUAGAAAUGCAAGAUUGGAUGCCAAGAUUGAUUCUAAAUUACGUCAUGUGGUUAUGGGUAACAAUGCAGUCUCACCCUAUCAGCAAGUGAUUGAAAAGACCAAAAGCCUUUCUUUUAGAAGCCAGAUGUUGGCCAUGAAUAUUGAGAAGAAGCUUAAUCAGAAUAGCAGGUCAGAGGCUCCUAACUGGGCAACUCAAGAUUCUGGCUUCUACUGAAGAAUGUAAAGAAAAGAUGAAGAAACUAUAGAAGAAAAUGAAAUAAUAAAACUAUUGUAUAAAGGUUAACAAAUUUUAGAAACAGCAUAUUGAGUAUAAAUUUUGGAGAGUUUGAAUAAAAUUGGCUGUGGUUCAUUAAAAAAAAAAAGAA